AUUGAACGCUGGCGGCAGGCCUAACACAUGCAAGUCGAGCGGAUGAAGAGAGCUUGCUCUCUGAUUUAGCGGCGGACGGGUGAGUAAUGCCUAGGAAUCUGCCUGGUAGUGGGGGAUAACGUCCGGAAACGGGCGCUAAUACCGCAUACGUCCUACGGGAGAAAGCGGGGGACCUUCGGGCCUUGCGCUAUCAGAUGAGCCUAGGUCGGAUUAGCUAGUUGGUGAGGUAAUGGCUCACCAAGGCUACGAUCCGUAACUGGUCUGAGAGGAUGAUCAGUCACACUGGAACUGAGACACGGUCCAGACUCCUACGGGAGGCAGCAGUGGGGAAUAUUGGACAAUGGGCGAAAGCCUGAUCCAGCCAUGCCGCGUGUGUGAAGAAGGUCUUCGGGUUGUAAAGCACUUUAAGUUGGGAGGAAGGGCAGUAAGUUAAUACCUUGCUGUUUUGACGUUACCGACAGAAUAAGCACCGGCUAACUUCGUGCCAGCCGCCGCGGUAAAAC
rnacentral:rRNA from 1 species